rnacentral:rRNA from 1 species
AGAAUGAACGUUGGCGGCGUGGAUUAGGCAUGCAAGCCGUGCGAGAAGUCCUUUCGGGGAUGGACAGCGGCGAAAGGGAGAGUAACGGGUGGUUACAUACCCUCAGGCUCGGGAUAGUGUCGGGAAACUGACAGUAAUACCGAAUAAUAUCUUUGGAUCAAAGGUGUGAUUCCGCCUGGGGAUUGGACCGCUUUCUAUUAGCUUGUUGGUGAGGUAAUGGCUCACCAAGGCUCAGAUGGAUACCGGGUGUGAGAGCAUCGGCCCGGCUCACUGGGACUGAGACACUGCCCAGACACCUACGGGUGGCUGCAGUCGAGAAUCUUCG